AUUGAACGCUGGCGGCAGGCCUAACACAUGCAAGUCGAGCGGCAGCGGGUCCUUCGGGAUGCCGGCGAGCGGCGGACGGGUGAGUAAUGCCUAGGAAUCUGCCUGGUAGUGGGGGAUAACGUUCGGAAACGGACGCUAAUACCGCAUACGUCCUACGGGAGAAAGUGGGGGAUCUUCGGACCUCACGCUACCAGAUGAGCCUAGGUCGGAUUAGCUAGUUGGUGGGGUAAAGGCUAACCAAGGCGACGAUCCGUAACUGGUCUGAGAGGAUGAUCAGUCACACUGGAACUGAGACACGGUCCAGACUCCUACGGGAGGCAGCAGUGGGGAAUAUUGGACAAUGGGCGAAAGCCUGAUCCAGCCAUGCCGCGUGUGUGAAGAAGGUCUUCGGAUUGUAAAGCACUUUAAGUUGGGAGGAAGGGCAGUAAGUUAAUACCUUGCUGUUUUGACGUUACCAACAGAAUAAGCACCGGCUAACUUCGUGCCAGCAGCCGCCGUAA
rnacentral:rRNA from 1 species